rnacentral:lncRNA from 10 species
UGGAAAAUGUUUCAAAGCAUCGUAAAAGAUGGAAAGCUUUUCAGCUUAUUAAAUAAUGCUAAACGCAAAUAUGAUAAAGAAAUGUGAGUAUAUCAACUUCUAAGUAAUUAUUAGAUUAAAUGGCAAGUCAAAAUUGAAAUAAUAAACCAUAUUAAGAAUUCAGUUUUAAAAUGAAAGGAGUGCGUAUCAAAACUUAGGGGAUGCAGCCAAAGCAGCAUUAGGGGAAAAUUUGUAGGAUUACAUGUACUUAUGAGAAAACAUGAAAAAUAAAUGGAUUGUAUUUUCAAUUCAAAAACUAGAAAAAGAACAAGGUAAACCCAAAGAAUGUGGAAAAAAUAAAAUAAUAAAAGCAAACAUUAAAGUUAUGAAUUUUCUUCUAUGGUUUUUAUGGUUUUAGCUCUAACAUGUAAGUCUUUAAUCCAUCUUGAAUUAAUUUUUGUAUAAAGUGUAAGGAAGGGAUUCAGUUUCAGCUUUCUACAUAUGGCUAGCCAGUUUUCCCAGCACCAUUGAUUAAAUAGGGAAUCCUUUCCUCUAACUGGAAGGCCCAAUUUUGAGUUGGUUGAUUCAGAGAGCAGGUUUGGAUUAUGACAGUACUCAGAAAGGUAAUUUAAUGGUUGUGUAGACAAUAAUGAGGCCUCUUGGUCCCCCAUCCCUACACCCUAACAAAUGAGCAAUUGGUCUGAGGAUGAUUGGUCUUAGGCCCAAAAGAUAAAGUGGUUCUCUAUUGAAGUUGAACAAUCUACUUCAGAUUUAAGACUUCAGUAUGGAGAUUAACACCAUACAGUGAAGCUGAUAUAGUUUGGAUAUUUGUCCCAAUUGCAAAUCUCAUGUUAAAAUGUGAUCCCCAAUGCUAGAGGUGGGCCUGGUGGAAGGUGUUUGGGCUUUGAAGGCAUAUCCCUCAUGAAUGGCUUGGUGUCCUUCCUGUGGUAAUGAGUUCUCACUCUAUUAGUUCACUCAAGAGCUGGUUGUUGAAAAGAGUGUGACAACAUUCCCUCUCUCUUGCUCCCUCUCUCACCAUGUGACACACAGGCUCCCUUGCAUUCUGCUAUAAGUAAAAGGUUCCUGAGGUUUUUACCAGAAGCAGAUGCUGGCACCUUCUUGUAAUGGUAGAACCAUGAGCCAAACAAACCUCUUUUCUUUAUAAAUUACCCUGCCCCAAGUAUUCCUUCCUAGCAACACAAAUGGACUAAUACGGAAGAAGCUUAUCUUGUUUGGCAUUGGGGGAGUCCCUACAUGCCUGCCCAUCAGAUAUCAUACACGUACACCAAGGCAAAGCCUGUCAAUUGCCUGCCUAACUCACAAACUUGGAGCUCUCAGUAAGCACCUCCACCUUUCAGCCCUAAACUCCUUUCAAAAGAGAGGUCUAUUGGGAAUAUUUAUCUACCCAAUGGCAGAGGAGGCCCAUGUUGGUUACCUUUAUUCACCAACUAAGUCCUUUGUUCAAAAAUAUGAAUAGAUGACAAGAAAUCACCAGACAUUUGCAACAAUCCAAUGGCAUAAGAAGAAAGAAAAAAGAGUCAAGAUAAACUAACAACAAGUAACAAAGGGCAAAGAAAGAUAACUCAGGAUAUUGAAAGUAAUUUAAACUCUAAUUAAUGUCCAUAAUGAUUUGAAAAGAUACUGCAUCCAUGCAACAGGCUAGGGUGAUGUGAAAUAUAUGUAGAAGAUAAGCAACAACUUAUUGGAAAUAGAAAACAGGAUCAAUAAAAAAUUUAAUAGAAGACCUAAAAGUUAAAAUCAACAUACAUUUUCUGGAAUGUACAAUAAGAAGGCAAAAAUAUGGAAUAUAUGAGAGAAAAGAGACAUGGGGGAUCAAUUCAGGAGGUCUAGCAUCUAACAGAAUUCCAAAAAGGAAGAAAAGAGAAAAUGAAAGAGGGGAAAAAAUCAAAGACAUAACAGAAGAAAAUUUCCCCAAGCUAAGAAAGGGAAAAGUCUUUAGGUUAAGACGGCCUACCAAUUGCCUAAACAACAAAUGGAACAUAAAACAAAAUAAAGCAGACAAACCUACCUUGCUACAUCUUCAUGAAAAUUCAGAUCCUCAAAGAUAAGGAGAACUUAGUGGCUUCACACAGAAAAAAAUAAUACUUUGCAAAAGGAUA